rnacentral:rRNA from 1 species
UACGAAGGGGGCUAGCGUUGUUCGGAUUUACUGGGCGUAAAGGGCGCGUAGGCGGCCUGUUAAGUCGAACGUGAAAUCCCCGGGCUCAACCCGGGAACUGCGUCCGAUACUGGCAGGCUUGAAUCCGGGAGAGGGAUGCGGAAUUCCAGGUGUAGCGGUGAAAUGCGUAGAUAUCUGGAGGAACACCGGUGGCGAAGGCGGCAUCCUGGACCGGCAUUGACGCUGAGGCGCGAAAGCCAGGGGAGCAAACGGG